rnacentral:hammerhead_ribozyme from 1 species
AUCAAGCUUACGAGUCCCAAAUAGGACGAAACGUGCGUCCUGGAU